CAAGGAGACACUGAUGGCAAAGGGAGUCCAUCUGCCUUAGGCUCUUUACAGUAGUAGUAGCAGCAGCAGCAGCAAAGCAACCCAUCUUGCCCCCACCCCUCUGAUAGCAAUCUUUAAUUAACUUAUUGAAAGCUACCAUAUUAAGUCAUUUCUAUAUUGCUAUCUGAACCUAAUACAUUUGUGGCACCUCUGACCUGUCUGUACAAGGUUCUCAGAGUCUCUUUUUUCCUUUUCCUUUUUGUUGAGACAGCAUCUCGAAAUGCUGCCCAGGCUGGCCUUGAACUCACAAUCCUCCUGCCUCAGUCUGCUGAAUGCUGAAUACAGAUGUGUGCCACCACGCCAGGCAACAGCUGCUUUCUUAUCAUGGAAAAGUUGCACUUUCCCAGGACUUGCCACAGUCCUUGCUAAGGAUAACGACAAAAACAAGAAUAACUAUAAGUCAUUCUUCCCAGUGAAAAGCAGUGGGAAUCUUGAGAACAGAAAAUUAGAAAGAAAUAUCUGUAUCAUCUAGACUUUUUCCAAGUGAGAAAACCCCAAGAAGAUAAGCUGGCUGCUUUUACAUAAGGGAACUGUUCUGCUUCAGUGAGAAUUAAGAAGGAAAAGGACUAGCGCUGAAUGGAAAAUGUAGGCAGGCCACUCGGGACAGCCUAUGUCACGGACAUUAAUGCUACUAUGUGGCAUCAUGCUGCUUUCAUGGUUACUCUAGCCAUCACAGGAACAGGGACUAUGGUGCCAGAACACUUGCAUCAGAAUCCCCUGGGAACUGUUAUUUUAUUUUUUA